rnacentral:piRNA from 1 species
UUGAAACUAACAUUUGCUGCUCUGUGCAC